GCACAAGACGGGUGAGAAUCCCGUCCGCCGAAUACCCAAGGUUUCCGUCGCUAGGUUCGUCCACGACGGGUUAAUCGGUACCUAAGGUGAGGUCAGUUUACUGGCGUAGCCGAAGGACAAGUUGUUAAAAUUCAACUAUUUUUUUUGAUUCGUUAUUAGUUAAGGAUAACCGAACAGGAAUAUUAUGGCUUCCUAAUGAUUGGGAGUAUAAGUUGUAAAGCAGUUCUGACUAGAAAAUCUACCAGAGCGUUUUUACCUGAGCAACGAUGUAAACUUCGCCGUGAGGUGGGGAAUUAUAUAAAUUUCAGUUUGCAAGAAAACAUUCGUAACAAGAAUCAAAAUUAGCCGUACCGCAAACCGACACAGGUGGGUUGGUAGAGAAUACUAAGGCGAUCGAGAGAAGGAUCCUUAAGGAACUCGGCAAAAAAACUACCCGUAACUUCGGGAGAUGGGUUCCCUACAAGUAAUUUUGUGGGGGCCACCAAAAGUUUGCUGACCGACUGUUUAUCAAAAACACAGGUCUGUGCAAAAUCGAAAGAUUAAGUAUACAGGCUGACGCCUGUCCAGUGCCGGUAGGUUAAAGGGAGGGGUGUCCCAUUAGAUGCGAAAGCUAUCUAACGGGAUUGCUCUGAACCAAAGCUCCGGUGAAACGACAGCAGUAACUAUAACUGUUCUAAGGUAGCGAAGUUCCUUGCCAGGUAAGUUCUGGCCCGCACGAAUGGCGUCACGAGUUAGCAACUGUCUUGAGGUUCCACUCGGCGAAAUUGCGUUGGCUGUGAAGACGCGGCCUAAUCCCACUUGGACAAAAAGACCCCGUGCAGCUUUACUGUAGUUUGGCAUUGCCUUUAACAAUUUUUGAUUGUCUAGUAUAGGAGGGAGUUUUACGACGACAGUGUAAUACCUCUCGUUGGAGAUUGUUGGGCUUACUCAAAUCGCUUGAAGACAGCGAUGGGAAAAGUGCUAGAUGGGCAGUUUUACUGGGGCGGUACCCUGCCAAAGAGUAACGCAGGGGUACAAAGGUUGGCUUGUUACGGAUGGAAACCGUAAUUAAACUACAAAGAGAUAAGCCAGCUUGACUGCAACACCGAAGGGUG
rnacentral:rRNA from 1 species